rnacentral:rRNA from 1 species
GACGAACGCUGGCGGCAUGCUUUACACAUGCAAGUCGGACGGCAGCACAGAGAAGCUUGCUUCUUGGGUGGCGAGUGGCGAACGGGUGAGUAAUAUAUCGGAACGUACCGAGUAAUGGGGGAUAACUAAUCGAAAGAUUAGCUAAUACCGCAUAUUCUCUGAGGAGGAAAGCAGGGGACCUUCGGGCCUUGCGUUAUUCGAGCGGCCGAUAUCUGAUUAGCUAGUUGGUGGGGUAAAGGCCUACCAAGGCGACGAUCAGUAGCGGGUCUGAGAGGAUGAUCCGCCACACUGGGACUGAGACACGGCCCAGACUCCUACGGGAGGCAGCAGUGGGGAAUUUUGGACAAUGGGCGCAAGCCUGAUCCAGCCAUGCCGCGUGUCUGAAGAAGGCCUUCGGGUUGUAAAGGACUUUUGUCAGGGAAGAAAAGGCUGUUGCUAAUAUCGACAGCUGAUGACGGUACCUGAAGAAUAAGCACCGGCUAACUACGUGCCAGCAGCCGCGGUAAUACGUAGGGUGCGAGCGUUAAUCGGAAUUACUGGGCGUAAAGCGAGCGCAGACGGUUACUUAAGCAGGAUGUGAAAUCCCCGGGCUUAACCUGGGAACUGCGUUCUGAACUGGGUGACUAGAGUGUGUCAGAGGGAGGUAGAAUUCCACGUGUAGCAGUGAAAUGCGUAGAGAUGUGGAGGAAUACCGAUGGCGAAGGCAGCCUCCUGGGAUAACACUGACGUUCAUGCUCGAAAGCGUGGGUAGCAAACAGG